GGUAGUUCUAAGUGCAAGUUGCUAACAUCUCUCUGUAAAGGUUUUUCCUUGCAUCUGUUCCCUCUGGUUGGAAGGAGGUCAAAUACAGAAGCACAAAGGAAAACCAAUGGUUAAGUAUGUAAACCUUUGCCAGCCACACAAACUAGCAGAGAACACCUUUCAAGCUAUAGUAAGACUAUCGUAUGGUGGAAUAUGCUCCUUAGGAGCUUUGUUAUCUAAAAGCUAUGCAGAAAUCUCAGUAAUUCUUGUGGCAACACUAUUUUAAUAUGGUGUCUGCCCCAAUCCUACGUCUGUAAGGCAGCACAGCAACUGUAACUCUUAAUGCAUUAAGUACAUAGGCUGUGAAUGUGGCACUAAGUGCCCAAAGUCUCUCUAGAAAUGAAAGUGUUUGCUAGUCAUGUUUUCUGGUAUAGAAAAUCUCAGCAGGUGUCGGGUUGCAUUCUACCAGGAAGAUGUCCAAGCUCACCUUCCUGCAUGGAGAGGCAGGGAACACAAACAAUUCUCCUGGGAUGUGGAUCACCACAGCAGCUAUAUUCUAUUUUCAGAGCUCUACUGGAAUGUUUCCAAGACCACCAUGACAAAACUGCUUCGGUAUGGGUGGUAAACAUGUCUCUACUGUUACUGCAGACUUUUCUGCUGUUUGCUAUGCAUUCUUUAGCUACUGUUUCUUGAGCGGAAGGAUUCUUUCUGCACUACCACCUCAUCCUUGGACCCCUCACUGGAUAUCCAUGUGGAAAAAGGCAAACAAAUCAUGUGCUCUGCUAAGCAGAUACCAUUUACAGGGUGGAACCUGCAGAUCAUCAAGUACCUGCUGAUGCCUUACCAACUGUAUGCAAAAAUCAAGGUGUAGUCAAGAGAAGAGCUCACCUUCUCAAAAGUCUACGUUCGUGAGCAACAAUUAGAACUUAUGCUCAGAUAACAGCUCUGGAGUAAGCAGAAUUCCUAUGCAUUCAACAGUAAAGUUCAGAGCACAUCUGGAUGAAGCCCUACCAGAACAAUGGUGGUACUGCACUGUAAUUACAUGAAAGGAUUAUCUACUUCUCAACAUACAACCCCACAGCAGAUGUGCAGUCAUUCACUUUGAAAAUGCUCCUGUAGGACUGCAAGUAUUCCAUGACAGAGCAUGACUUUUUGGGAGAACCUAUUCCUGCCUGCAGGAACCCACCAGCUUUCAGUCUGGCUUGAGAUCGAUGGUGAAGUGCACACAGGGCACCAGGAAAACCUCAUUCUGCAACAAAUACACCUUGGGAGAGAUCAUCACGUAUCCUGCUUUUUAGCUACAGAAGAAAAGCAGUUUUAUUGAUGGUACAUUACUCUGAAUUUCAGUAGCGUCACCUGCACUGGAGCUGUACUUGGACUCCCACUGCCACUUUUGGUGAGGGAAUUUCUGCCACCUCCUCCAGCCCCCUGUGAAGACCCCACACACCCACCUUCCACAGUGAUUUUGGAUUGUACUUUCCUUUAAUACUGUGCUCAUCUUGAUGGAGCCUCAUUCCUACUGAGCAUCCAAGAGAAGUGACAAAGUAGAACCUAAAGAGGCGCUGCCUUUCUGAAGAGUGCUUCCCAUGAGUUUCCUGAGCUACUAAGGAAUAUAAAUCUCCAGAAACACGGCUUGAAAGAAAUUAGGAGUCACUACUGCCCACUCAUGCAUGGAAUGAAGCACAUCUCCUGCAGAAAAGUAAAGUAUGUGAUCAUGAUUAAUAAUUUUGAACGUGAGCAAAGAAUGACAGGAAUGCAAAUUGGAGCAACUUCCUCUGCAUGUACUCAGUUUUCACGUUAAUAUUAAACUAUCUGCAUCUAAGUGAGCAUUCAUUCUUUAGUUCUCAAAGCAAACUACACAGAUGAAUGCUACGUAUUCUAUUCUAAAU
rnacentral:lncRNA from 1 species